UACGGGGGGGGCAAGCGUUGUUCGGAAUUACUGGGCGUAAAGCGCGUGUAGGCGGUUGCCCAAGUCGGGUGUGAAAGCCUUGAGCUCAACUCAAGAAAUGCACUCGGUACUGGGUGACUAGAAGACCGGAGAGGAUAGUGGAAUUCCCAGUGUAGUGGUGAAAUACGUAGAGAUUGGGAAGAACACCAGUGGCGAAGGCGGCUAUCUGGACGGUUUCUGACGCUAAGACGCGAAAGCGUGGGGAGCAAACAGG
rnacentral:rRNA from 1 species